UACGUAGGGUGCAAGCGUUUGUCCGGAAUUAUUGGGCGUAAAGAGCUCGUAGGCGGUUUGUCGCGUCUGCUGUGAAAACCCGAGGCUCAACCUCGGGCCUGCAGUGGGUACGGGCAGACUAGAGUGCGGUAGGGGGAGAUUGGAAUUCCUGGUGUAGCGGUGGAAUGCGCAGAUAUCAGGAGGAACACCAAUGGCGAAGGCAGAUCUCUGGGCCGAUACUGACGCUGAGGAGCGAAAGCGUGGGGGAGCGAACAGG
rnacentral:rRNA from 1 species